rnacentral:rRNA from 1 species
UACGUAGGGGGCAAGCGUUGUCCGGAAUCAUUGGGCGUAAAGAGCGUGUAGGCGGCCCGGUAAGUCCGCUGUGAAAGUCCAGGGCUCAACCCUGGGAUGCCGGUGGAUACUGUCGGGCUCGAGUCCGGAAGAGGCGAGUGGAAUUCCUGGUGUAGCGGUGAAAUGCGCAGAUAUCAGGAGGAACACCAAUGGCGAAGGCGGCUCGCUGGGACGUGACUGACGCUGAGACGCGAAAGCGUGGGGAGCAAACAGG